ensembl:lncRNA
AUGUUUCUCAGUUUGGUCUGUCAGGUUAUGGGAUGUUUCUCAUUUUGGUCUGUCAGGUUAUGGGAUGUUUCUCAGUUUGUUCUGUCAGGUUAUGGGAUGUUUCUCAUUUUGGUCUGUCAGGUUAUGGGAUGUUUCUCAUUUUGGUCUGUCAGGUUAUGGGAUGUUUCUCAUUUUGGUCUGUCAGGUUAUGGGAUGUUUCUCAGUUUGUUCUGUCAGGUUAUGGGAUGUUUCUCAUUUUGGUCUGUCAGGUUAUGGGGAUGUUUCUCAGUUUGUUCUGUCAGGUUAUGGGGAUGUUUCUCAGUUUGUUCUGUCAGGUUAUGGGGAUGUUUCUCAUUUUGGUCUGUCAGGUUAUGGGGAUGUUUCUCAUUUUGGUCUGUCAGGUUAUGGGGAUGUUUCUCAGUUUGGUCUGUCAGGUUGUGGGGAUGUUUCUCAGUUUGUUCUGUCAGGUUAUGGGAUGUUUCUCAUUUUGGUCUGUCAGGUUAUGGGGAUGUUUCUCAUUUUGGUCUGUCAGGUUAUGGGGAUGUUUCUCAUUUUGGUCUGUCAGGUUAUGGGGAUGUUUCUCAUUUUGGUCUGUCAGGUUAUGGGAUGUUUCUCAUUUUGGUCUGUCAGGUUAUGGGAUGUUUCUCAUUUUGGUCUGUCAGGUUAUGGGGAUGUUUCUCAGUUUGUUCUGUCAGGUUAUGGGAUGUUUCUCAUUUUGGUCUGUCAGGUUAUGGGGAUGUUUCUCAGUUUGGUCUGUCAGGUUGUGGGGAUGUUUCUCAGUUUGUUCUGUCAGGUUAUGGGAUGUUUCUCAUUUUGGUCUGUCAGGUUAUGGGGAUGUUUCUCAUUUUGGUCUGUCAGGUUAUGGGGAUGUUUCUCAUUUUGGUCUGUCAGGUUAUGGGGAUGUUUCUCAUUUUGGUCUGUCAGGUUAUGGGAUGUUUCUCAUUUUGGUCUGUCAGGUUAUGGGAUGUUUCUCAUUUUGGUCUGUCAGGUUAUGGGGAUGUUUCUCAGUUUGUUCUGUCAGGUUAUGGGAUGUUUCUCAUUUUGGUCUGUCAGGUUAUGGGGAUGUUUCUCAGUUUGUUCUGUCAGGUUAUGGGGAUGUUUCUCAUUUUGGUCUGUCAGGUUAUGGGAUGUUUCUCAUUUUGGUCUGUCAGGUUAGGGGGAUGUUUCUCAGUUUGUUCUGUCAGGUUAUGGGAUGUUUCUCAGUUUGGUCUGUCAGGUUAUGGGAUGUUUCUCAUUUUGGUCUGUCAGGUUAUGGGAUGUUUCUCAGUUUGUUCUGUCAGGUUAUGGGAUGUUUCUCAUUUUGGUCUGUCAGGUUAUGGGAUGUUUCUCAUUUUGGUCUGUCAGGUUAUGGGAUGUUUCUCAUUUUGGUCUGUCAGGUUAUGGGAUGUUUCUCAGUUUGUUCUGUCAGGUUAUGGGAUGUUUCUCAUUUUGGUCUGUCAGGUUAUGGGGAUGUUUCUCAGUUUGUUCUGUCAGGUUGUGGGGAUGUUUCUCAGUUUGUUCUGUCAGGUUAUGGGAUGUUUCUCAUUUUGGUCUGUCAGGUUAUGGGGAUGUUUCUCAUUUUGGUCUGUCAGGUUAUGGGGAUGUUUCUCAUUUUGGUCUGUCAGGUUAUGGGGAUGUUUCUCAUUUUGGUCUGUCAGGUUAUGGGAUGUUUCUCAUUUUGGUCUGUCAGGUUAUGGGAUGUUUCUCAUUUUGGUCUGUCAGGUUAUGGGGAUGUUUCUCAGUUUGUUCUGUCAGGUUAUGGGAUGUUUCUCAUUUUGGUCUGUCAGGUUAUGGGGAUGUUUCUCAGUUUGGUCUGUCAGGUUGUGGGGAUGUUUCUCAGUUUGUUCUGUCAGGUUAUGGGAUGUUUCUCAUUUUGGUCUGUCAGGUUAUGGGGAUGUUUCUCAUUUUGGUCUGUCAGGUUAUGGGGAUGUUUCUCAUUUUGGUCUGUCAGGUUAUGGGGAUGUUUCUCAUUUUGGUCUGUCAGGUUAUGGGAUGUUUCUCAUUUUGGUCUGUCAGGUUAUGGGAUGUUUCUCAUUUUGGUCUGUCAGGUUAUGGGGAUGUUUCUCAGUUUGUUCUGUCAGGUUAUGGGAUGUUUCUCAUUUUGGUCUGUCAGGUUAUGGGGAUGUUUCUCAGUUUGUUCUGUCAGGUUAUGGGGAUGUUUCUCAUUUUGGUCUGUCAGGUUAUGGGAUGUUUCUCAUUUUGGUCUGUCAGGUUAGGGGGAUGUUGCUCAGUUUGUUCUGUCAGGUUAUGGGAUGUUUCUCAGUUUGGUCUGUCAGGUUAUGGGAUGUUUCUCAUUUUGGUCUGUCAGGUUAUGGGAUGUUUCUCAGUUUGUUCUGUCAGGUUAUGGGAUGUUUCUCAUUUUGGUCUGUCAGGUUAUGGGAUGUUUCUCAUUUUGGUCUGUCAGGUUAUGGGAUGUUUCUCAUUUUGGUCUGUCAGGUUAUGGGAUGUUUCUCAUUUUGGUCUGUCAGGUUAUGGGAUGUUUCUCAGUUUGGUCUGUCAGGUUAUGGGAUGUUUCUCAUUUUGGUCUGUCAGGUUAUGGGAUGUUUCUCAUUUUGGUCUGUCAGUUUAUGGGAUGUUUCUCAGUUUGUUCUGUCAGGUUAUGGGAUGUUUCUCAUUUUGUUCUGUCAGGUUAUGGGGAUGUUUCUCAUUUUGGUCUGUCAGGUUAUGGGGAUGUUUCUCAUUUUGGUCUGUCAGGUUAUGGGGAUGUUUCUCAUUUUGGUCUGUCAGGUUAUGGGAUGUUUCUCAUUUUGGUCUGUCAGGUUAUGGGAUGUUUCUCAUUUUGGUCUGUCAGGUUAUGGGAUGUUUCUCAUUUUGGUCUGUCAGGUUAGGGGGAUGUUUCUCAGUUUGUUCUGUCAGGUUAUGGGAUGUUUCUCAGUUUGGUCUGUCAGGUUAUGGGAUGUUUCUCAUUUUGGUCUGUCAGGUUAUGGGAUGUUUCUCAUUUUGGUCUGUCAGGUUAUGGGAUGUUUCUCAUUUUGGUCUGUCAGGUUAUGGGGAUGUUUCUCAUUUUGGUCUGUCAGGUUAUGGGGAUGUUUCUCAUUUUGGUCUGUCAGGUUAUGGGAUGUUUCUCAUUUUGGUCUGUCAGGUUAUGGGAUGUUUCUCAUUUUGGUCUGUCAGGUUAUGGGGAUGUUUCUCAUUUUGGUCUGUCAGGUUAUGGGAUGUUUCUCAUUUUGGUCUGUCAGGUUAUGGGGAUGUUUCUCAGUUUGUUCUGUCAGGUUAUGGGGAUGUUUCUCAGUUUGUUCUGUCAGGUUAUGGGGAUGUUUCUCAUUUUGGUCUGUCAGGUUAUGGGGAUGUUUCUCAUUUUGGUCUGUCAGGUUAUGGGGAUGUUUCUCAGUUUGGUCUGUCAGGUUAUGGGGAUGUUUCUCAUUUUGGUCUGUCAGGUUAUGGGAUGUUUCUCAUUUUGGUCUGUCAGGUUAUGGGGAUGUUUCUCAUUUUGGUCUGUCAGGUUAUGGGGAUGUUUCUCAUUUUGGUCUGUCAGGUUAUGGGGAUGUUUCUCAGUUUGUUCUGUCAGGUUAUGGGGAUGUUUCUCAUUUUGGUCUGUCAGGUUAUGGGAUGUUUCUCAUUUUGGUCUGUCAGGUUAGGGGGAUGUUUCUCAGUUUGUUCUGUCAGGUUAUGGGAUGUUUCUCAGUUUGUUCUGUCAGGUUAUGGGGAUGUUUCUCAUUUUGGUCUGUCAGGUUAUGGGGAUGUUUCUCAUUUUGGUCUGUCAGGUUAUGGGAUGUUUCUCAUUUUGGUCUGUCGGGUUAUGGGGAUGUUUCUCAGUUUGUUCUGUCAGGUUAUGGGGAUGUUUCUCAUUUUGGUCUGUCAGGUUAUGGGGAUGUUUCUCAUUUUGGUCUGUUAGGUUAUGGGGAUGUUUCUCAUUUUGGUCUGUCAGGUUAUGGGAUGUUUCUCAUUUUGGUCUGUCAGGUUAUGGGGAUGUUUCUCAGUUUGGUCUGUCAGGUUAUGGGAUGUUUCUCAUUUUGGUCUGUCAGGUUAUGGGGAUGUUUCUCAGUUUGUUCUGUCAGGUUAUGGGGAUGUUUCUCAGUUUGUUCUGUCAGGUUAUGGGGAUGUUUCUCAUUUUGGUCUGUCAGGUUAUGGGGAUGUUUCUCAUUUUGGUCUGUCAGGUUAUGGGGAUGUUUCUCAGUUUGGUCUGUCAGGUUGUGGGGAUGUUUCUCAGUUUGUUCUGUCAGGUUAUGGGAUGUUUCUCAUUUUGGUCUGUCAGGUUAUGGGGAUGUUUCUCAGUUUGUUCUGUCAGGUUAUGGGGAUGUUUCUCAGUUUGUUCUGUCAGGUUAUGGGGAUGUUUCUCAUUUUGGUCUGUCAGGUUAUGGGGAUGUUUCUCAGUUUGGUCUGUCAGGUUAUGGGGAUGUUUCUCAGUUUGGUCUGUCAGGUUGUGGGGAUGUUUCUCAGUUUGUUCUGUCAGGUUAUGGGAUGUUUCUCAUUUUGGUCUGUCAGGUUAUGGGGAUGUUUCUCAUUUUGGUCUGUCAGGUUAUGGGGAUGUUUCUCAUUUUGGUCUGUCAGGUUAUGGGGAUGUUUCUCAUUUUGGUCUGUCAGGUUAUGGGAUGUUUCUCAUUUUGGUCUGUCAGGUUAUGGGAUGUUUCUCAUUUUGGUCUGUCAGGUUAUGGGGAUGUUUCUCAGUUUGUUCUGUCAGGUUAUGGGGAUGUUUCUCAUUUUGGUCUGUCAGGUUAUGGGAUGUUUCUCAUUUUGGUCUGUCAGGUUAGGGGGAUGUUUCUCAUUUUGGUCUGUCAGGUUAUGGGGAUGUUUCUCAGUUUGUUCUGUCAGGUUAUGGGGAUGUUUCUCAUUUUGGUCUGUCAGGUUAUGGGAUGUUUCUCAUUUUGGUCUGUCAGGUUAGGGGGAUGUUUCUCAGUUUGUUCUGUCAGGUUAUGGGAUGUUUCUCAGUUUGGUCUGUCAGGUUAUCGGAUGUUUCUCAUUUUGGUCUGUCAGGUUAUGGGAUGUUUCUCAGUUUGUUCUGUCAGGUUAUGGGAUGUUUCUCAUUUUGGUCUGUCAGGUUAUGGGGAUGUUUCUCAUUUUGGUCUGUCAGGUUAUGGGAUGUUUCUCAUUUUGGUCUGUGAGGUUAUGGGGAUGUUUCUCAGUUUGUUCUGUCAGGUUAUGGGGAUGUUUCUCAGUUUGUUCUGUCAGGUUAUGGGGAUGUUUCUCAUUUUGGUCUGUCAGGUUAUGGGGAUGUUUCUCAGUUUGGUCUGUCAGGUUAUGGGGAUGUUUCUCAGUUUGGUCUGUCAGGUUGUGGGGAUGUUUCUCAGUUUGUUCUGUCAGGUUAUGGGAUGUUUCUCAUUUUGGUCUGUCAGGUUAUGGGGAUGUUUCUCAUUUUGGUCUGUCAGGUUAUGGGGAUGUUUCUCAUUUUGGUCUGUCAGGUUAUGGGGAUGUUUCUCAUUUUGGUCUGUCAGGUUAUGGGAUGUUUCUCAUUUUGGUCUGUCAGGUUAUGGGAUGUUUCUCAUUUUGGUCUGUCGGGUUAUGGGGAUGUUUCUCAGUUUGUUCUGUCAGGUUAUGGGGAUGUUUCUCAUUUUGGUCUGUCAGGUUAUGGGAUGUUUCUCAUUUUGGUCUGUCAGGUUAGGGGGAUGUUUCUCAUUUUGGUCUGUCAGGUUAUGGGGAUGUUUCUCAGUUUGUUCUGUCAGGUUAUGGGGAUGUUUCUCAUUUUGGUCUGUCAGGUUAUGGGAUGUUUCUCAUUUUGGUCUGUCAGGUUAG